rnacentral:lncRNA from 1 species
AGCUACAUGCCGAGCGAAAAUUCUCUUACUGUGGAAGAGGAGGAGAACACUAUCCGGAACCAACUGAUUUUCUGCCAAAAGAACAUUUUACACAGAGGAAAGAUUGAAGGCAAAGGCCCCGAGGAAAGAAAGUACUUGACUUGUUAAAGAGAAAAAACUGCCCCUGGAGGCAUUGCAGAUGUGGCUGCUGUGUCACAUUUGUGUCAUUAGGUAGCAGCGAUUAGAGAGGCUAUGUCUAUGCUCAGCGUUCUGUCCCAUGAACAUUUGAAUGUUUAAUAGUCUGACUCUCCUGUUUUGUGGACUUGGCAUCUGUUUUCCUUCACCGGUAUCUGGGAGAGUGGGUGGGCCUUAUGAGUGGGCUUUCUGACCCUCGCGCUGGGCUGGGCUGGCCACUAGGGGUCUGAAGGGACAGUGGGAAGGUAGAGGGUGCCUUCACCAGGAGCAGCCUUCAUUAGUGAGUUUUAAGAGCCUGUGAGAGGAUGGAUCAGGUCUGGUGUGUGCUGGUUCAUGCUGCACACCGUGUCAGGAUCACGAAGGAAAGGACUGGGGAAGGGUUUGCUGGUGUCUCAGUUAAUAGCAAUAACGGCAGCCACUAUUGUGUUCUUGAUUCUGUGCCAAGCAUUCUUGUUAUUUAAAAAAAGAGAGAGAGAGAAGUCCAGGUCACUGAACAGAGGUUAAAGAAGGGGAGAGUGGGAGGAUCUUAAAUCAGGUAGCAGAUAGGACUGAACAAUGCAGAGAUUUUAAAACCAGGCUAAGGAAUUUCCAUGAGAGAGUUUUCAGCGGCUAACUGAUUCGACCGUUCUCUCUCAUAUCUACCUCUUUCCCAUUUCUUAAUAGCAUUACAGCCUUAAUUUUGACUAAAUUAUUAAUCACUAUUUACACGGUGGAUACAGAACAUCUGAGAUAGGUCUCAGUUAAUUCAGAAAGUUUUUUUUUUUUUUUUUUUUGCCACGAUUGAGGACCUGGGCCCAUGACACAGCCUCAGGAAGUGCUGACGACGUGUGCCCAAGGUGGUCAGGGCACAGCUUGGUUUUACACAUUUUAGGGAGGCAGGAGACAUCAAUCAAUACACGUAAGAAGUACAUUGGUUCGGUCUGGAAAGGCAGGACAACUUGAAGCAAAGGCAGGAAGACUCAAAGCAGGGAGGGGCCUUCUAGGUCACAGAUAGGUAGAGACAAGUGAUUGCAUUCUUUUGAGUUUCUGAUGAGCCUUUCCAAAGGAGGCAAUCAGAUAUGCAUCUAUCUCAGUGAGCAGAGGAAUGACUUUGAAUAGAAUGGGAGGCAGGUGUGCCCUAAGCAGCUCCCAGCUUGAGUUUUUCCUUUAGCUUAGUGAUUUUGGGGGCCC